UACGUAGGUGGCAAGCGUUGUCCGGAUUUACUGGGCGUAAAGCGCGCGCAGGCGGGCUGGUCAGUCUGGGGUGAAAUCUCACGGCUCAACCGUGAGAGGUCCCUGGAUACUGCUAGCCUUGAGGGGCUCAGAGGAGAGUGGAAUUCCGGGUGUAGUGGUGGAAUACGUAGAUAUCCGGAGGAACACCAGCGGCGAAGGCGGCUUUCUGGUCCGAUUCUGACGCUGAGGUGCGAAAGCGUGGGGAGCAAACAGG
rnacentral:rRNA from 1 species